UACGUAGGGGCGAGCGUUAUCCGGAUUUAUUGGGCGUAAAGCGCACGCGAGGCGGUCGUGCAAGUUCGGGGUGAAAGCUCCCGGCUUAACCGGGAAGGAGGGCCGCGAACGACUGUGCGACUUGAGAGCGAGAGAGGGACGACGGAACUCCGCAUGGAGCAGUGACAUGCGUAGAUAUGCGGAAGAACACCAAAGGCGAAGGCAGUGUCCUGGCUCGUUCUGACGCUCAGGUGCGAAAGCUAGGGGAGCGAACGGG
rnacentral:rRNA from 1 species